rnacentral:tRNA from 1 species
UCCGUUGUAGUCUAGUUGGUUAGGAUACUCGGCUCUCACCUGAGAGACCAGGGUUCGUUCCCGGCAACGGUG